UACGAAGGGGGCUGGCGUUGUUCGGAUUUACUGGGCGUAAAGCGCACGUAGGCGGAUUGUUAAGUGAGGGGUGAAAUCCUGGAGCUCAACUCCAGAACUGCCUUUCAUACUGGCAAUCUAGAGUCCGGAAGAGGUAAGUGGAACUCCUAGUGUAGAGGUGGAAUUCGUAGAUAUUAGGAAGAACACCAGUGGCGAAGGCGGCUUACUGGUCCGGUACUGACGCUGAGGUGCGAAAGCGUGGGGAGCAAACAGG
rnacentral:rRNA from 1 species